GGGGGGGCAUCCCUGUGGAGGCUCUGGGGGAGGGUCCUUCCUGCUUCUCCCGCAUCCUUGGUGCUUCUUGGCCUGUGGCUGCAUCGCUGCCGUCUCUCCCCUGCAUUGUCACAUGGCGGCCGUCCCCCUGUGUGUCCCCUCUCUGUCUUUGCGUCUUCACACCUGGCCUUCAAAGACUCUAUUUCCAAAUAGGCCACAUUCUGAGGUUCCAAGUGGAUAUGAGUCUGGGGGGACACUAUCCAACUCACUACACAGACCGAGUAGUUACAUCGUCUACAUCACAGGCCCAAGAAUUCAUGAAGCGUAACAGGUUUCACCAAGGGACCCUGAAAUAAAAGUGGCUUAAUCGGGAGAAAAGUUUAUUUACCUCUCAUAUUGUGCUCAGAGGGUAAGCAUCCAAGGGCUGAGAACCCCUGUUGUCAGGAACUUAAACUCCUGCCUUCUGUGCUGCAGUCCUCAAGACAUGGUUUCGGUCUUGUGUGUCAAAAAUGGCUGCCGCAGCUCCAGCCAUCACCUUCACACUCCAGCACGGAGGAAGAGCAAAGAAGUGAAAAGCAUGCCUCUCCCUUUAAGGACCUGGAAAUAAUCUAUCACUUCUGUUCAAGUGCCUGUAAGCUUAGUCACAUGACCUUAUUUGCUGCAAAGAUGGCUGGGAAAGGUCGUCUUCCUCUGGAUAGUCACACAUCCGACUAAAACUCCCGGGUGCUGCUACCCCGUAGUCUUGAGCGCAAAUAUGUCACAGGGAAAAUGGCUCCGGGGAAGACUGCCCUUCCAGGGAUAACCCAUCCCACUGCCCUGGGCCCUGCUGACCUUUGGACCGAGGUCAGGGGCCACGUCGUCCCCUUCAGGUGGGUGUUCUGGGAGGGGUGAGCAUGAGGAGCCCAGCACGUGGUGGGGACCCAGGCCAGGCCCGGGGAGGGUGAUGUCUGGGACCUCCAGGAUGAGGGACGCGGGCGGCCGGGCAGGAGUGCGGUUCCAGCAGAGGAACAGAGUAUGCAGAGGCCCAGAGGCCACGGACAGGUAUGAAACCGCAGGCACCACAGCAGGUGUGAGGUUGGAGGUCUCAGCUGGCAUGGGGUCCUGAGGGCCCUUGACGAGGGCUCUGGAUGUGGAACUUCAGCCCAGGGGGCCCAGGAUCACCGUGGACGGGGCACAGACCAACGGCCGGGCAGCGGCUGGGAGCAGGGCCCGUCCAGGUGACCCGGGGCGAUCUCCCUCCAGAUCCUCGAGCACCUCUGCCAAGAUCACAAAGGUCACACUCGGGUUCCAGGUGGACAUAACUGCCGCGUGGGGGCACCGCUCAACCCGCUACAACGACAAAAGCAAAUCGCAAAGCGCUCCGUGUACAAUGAUACCGUGUUUGCGACGAACAGACGUGCGUGCCUCCGUGCGCGUGGGCGGCGAGCCCGUGGUGUGCGUGCGGCCGCACCGGCCUAACGUGUGCGUGUUUGUGUCCGGAAGCGGGCUGGUUAACCGCCCUCCCCUUGGGGGAUGGGCUCGGGAGGAGGAGGCGGCCCCUGUCUGCUUUGUAAUGACGCGUAUGUAUUUCGCAUUUUUAAGUGACCGAAAGUUGCCUUUAUUCCUUAGGAAGGGGGCGCGAGGGAGGUAGGAAGUCCCGGCCCCUGGCUCGGAUGACUCUCUCCCAGCCCAGGGCGCAGCUAGAAGCCCAGGGCGGGGGCCUGGGUCCAGCUCUGUCCCGCAGGGGCACCGGCCUCCCGGCCUGACUCUGGCAGAGAGGGCCACCGGGAACCCGCAGAGAACCACGUGGGCGCGACAGACCGACCCAGAAUAAGCACGGCUGUGGCUGUCCCCACGGUGAUGAUUUUGGGGGUGCCACAGGGGGAUACUUUGGCAAACUUCCCUGUGAUUUUCUGGGACUUUUUUAAGGGGCGCGUGUGUAUGUGUGUGUGUGUAAACCUCCCGUGUGUAGUUAGCUCAUCUUCAGCCGACUGUACCCGUGACCGCUUUUCGUAAAAGGGGGGAAGCCUUACUGUGGCCCGAGUCCUGUCCCCAGCUCCACAGCUUGCGCUCUAACCCCCCAGGUGAUGCUGGGAGGGGACUGGGGGUGAUGGGGUUAGUGCCCCCGGUUCUCCUCCCCCCUCUGUCUCCCCACCUCUCCCCACAGGUGCGCGCGCACCCAGAGAAGGCGGCCAUCUGCAAGCCCGGGGAGUUCUCACCAGGAGCCGACCCUGACCUCCAGCGUCCUGCCUCCGGAACCCGGAGAAGCGAGCGCCUGUCGUGUCAGCCGCGAGUGCUGUUUGCACGCGCGCGUGUGGAUGGAGUGCGAUUCAGCCCCCCCGCCCGCUGUUGUGUUCACCUGCACGUACCCCCCCCCCCCCCCCCACUGCUCCCUGGCCGGCUUCUCUCAGUAGAACCAGAGUCCUCAGUCCCAUUCUCGGGGACCCGCAGUUGGCAGUGAA